UGAUGGAAGGAAUGGCAAAGAAUUUGUGGAUAUAGUUUAAGUCCACCACUUGUCUUUUCUGCGAUGCUCUUCUACAUACACUGAUCUUCCCCUUAUGAAUGAACUCUACCCCACUUCCUUCCUAGUGCUGUUAGUACAAUCUGGGAGCAGUGGCGGUGGGAGGCUCACCCUGAAGCCUGGUUAUAGAAAAAGGAAAGGCAUGGCGAAGAAGGUUCCGAAUCACCAUUGUGUCCCUUUCUUAACUCAAAAACCGUCAGCUCCUUGCAUUUCUUGGCUUACCAAGUUAAAACUGCCAUGUGCGGCUUUUAAGAGCCUUCAUUCUGACUCUUCUUUCCAAGGCAAUGUAGUUCUUUUUUUACUAGUAGACGCUUCGGUGUCAGUAAUUAAGCUCUUAUCUCUUUCCAAACCCACCCUUCUAUACCAAGCCUGGCAAUGGCUGGAGCCACACUACAUUUCAACGUUGCAAGCUGGUCCCUGUUAGGGGGCGCUACAGAAAGAUGAAGCUUGGAUAACAAAGAAAAGUUUACUCCUUCCUGUUUGUUUAUGAAACUUUCUGGGGGCUUCCUGUUGACUGACAGUUCGAAGGGGGCGAACCAACACUUCUUCACCCCAGCGGAAGCAGUUCCUUCCCACAGCAGCUCAAUCCAAUUUGCAGUUUUACCGACACUUGGAGAGUCCGCUUCAUUGUACGCGCCACCCCCUCCCCCCCACAGACAUCAGUACCAGCUGGAUACUUCCUCAGGUUAUAGUGGAACCAUGGAUGUGUUUGGAGACAUAGGUGACAUUUCCUCAGAGAGUGCUGAUGACAAUCAACCACCUAUUCCAGGACAGCCUGUUGAUGAAUGUGGAUUGCCUCAGGACCAGCAGGGGGAAAAGCCGAUUUCUGAAACCACAAUAGAAGUAGAAAUUCCCAGUAUCAAUCGUGAUUUAGGAAAUGAAUUGUUCUUUGUUAAGCUACCCAAAUUUCUCAUCAUAGAACCCAAGUAGAAAAUACUAUACGAUGGAGGAUACGCCGGGAUGAAGAAGGAAAUAAAAUUAAAGAAAGCAAUGCUCGGGUAAUCAAGUGGUCAGAUGGAAGCCUGUCCCUGCAUGUAGGCAGUGAAGUGUUCGAUGUCUACAAAGGCCCAGUGCAGGGCAACCAUCUCCAACUGUUUGUUAGAGAAGAUACUGGUCUACAGGGACAAGCCGUCUUUAAAUCCAAACUCACCUUUAGACCUCACUCUGUAGGCUGUGCCACACAUAGAAAGAUGACUCUGCCACUUGCUAAUAGAGGCUCAGGGACACAGAAGAUUAGAAUCUUGCCCAUUGCUGGUUGUGAUCCUGAAUGCCAACACACAGAAAAGAUUAAGAAAGAACACAAACGUGUGAGGUCAUCUCACCAGAGGACAACAGUCUGUCUGCAGAACAAGCAGAACCAGCAGGGGCCAAGGGACCCCAGCAGUGACGAGGAGGAGGAAGGCGAUGAAGCCAUUGAAAACCAGUACCACGGGGAACUGGGAGAGGAACAGGCCAGAAUCUAUUCAUCAGACAGCGAUGAAGAAUCAGAAGAAAAUAAGUCUCAAAGAUUACCGAGAGCAAAGCAACUCAGCAGCGAUGAGGUAAAAGCAAAUUUAUUUAAUUCUAAGGGGUUUACUCUGUACCCACAAAUCACCUUGUGGAAUAAAGAGGAGCUCACAGCCCAGGAGCACACACAUGUCUACACAUUUCACUGAAGCUCAGUGACAUAAGUGCAGUGACAGGACUAGGAGUGGCCAGAGGAGAGCCUGACACCUCUGCUUGGAUGGGUGCUGGAAGGCUGCUCAGAGGAGACCUCUUGCUGGAUGUUGAAGAAAGAGUGUUAGUUUGUAGGACACACUGGCCAGGGCGGGCAUGCCCGGUAGAUGGAAAGGCCUGUGAGAAAGGUGCCAGGGCCCUAGACACAUCAAGUCUUGACUGGAGAACCAGGAAUAGCUCAUGGUAGUUCCAGGCACCUGCCAUGUUCAUUGGGGGUAACUGGGUGUCUUUAUUGUUUGGGUAAAAUUGUAGUGGAGGGUUAUUCCAUUUCCAUGUUAUUAAAAUAUUUUCCCAUUAUUUCCUUUUCCACUUAUAAGAUCACAAAUGCAAAGAAAUGUCAAGUCUUAACUAUAAAAGUGAAUCACUGUUACUGCCCAUAAGCCAUAUUAAUUUCUUCAGUGUUUUCUGAACACGUAACAUGCGUCCCUCUCUAGGUUUCUGGAGAUACAGAUAGGAGUCAAGAUCGCAGUAACAGAAAUGUUCAGUUAAACAUUGGUCACUUGUAUAAGGGAGGUGUUCAUUUUUCAUAUAAAAAAUAUAUUUAAAACUUUAAAAGCAUACUGGGAAAACAACAGCCGUCUUUUUAAAAAAUCAGCAAGCUUUAAACUACUGAAUUUUAGACACAGAGAGUAAAGUACUAAGGAAGCAGAGGACUGUAUUACAAAUAUAAUAUGAUAGAAAUCCUAGUCAGUAUAGACAAGGAAGUGUCCCUCCAGUCCUGACCGCUGCCCAGGGGAAACCUGACCUGCUAGAGCAGCGGUUCUCAACCUUCCUAAUGCCGCGACCCCUUAAUACAGUUCCUCGUGUUGUGGUCAC